rnacentral:rRNA from 1 species
UACGUAGGGGGCAAGCGUUGUCCGGAUUUAUUGGGCGUAAAGAGCUCGUAGGCGGCUUGGCAAGUCGGGUGUGAAAACUUCAGGCUCAACCUGGAGCGGCCACUCGAUACUGCUAUGGCUUGAGUCCGGUAGGGGACCACGGAAUUCCUGGUGUAGCGGUGAAAUGCGCAGAUAUCAGGAGGAACACCAGUGGCGAAGGCGGUGGUCUGGGCCGGAACUGACGCUGAGGAGCGAGAGCGUGGGUAGCAAACAGG